rnacentral:rRNA from 1 species
UGAGUAACACGUAUCCAGCCUGCCGUCUACUCUUGGACAGCCUUCUGAAAGGAAGAUUAAUACAAGAUGGCAUCAUGAGUUCACAUGUUCACAUGAUUAAAGGUAUUCCGGUAGACGAUGGGGAUGCGUUCCAUUAGAUAGUAGGCGGGGUAACGGCCCACCUAGUCUUCGAUGGAUAGGGGUUCUGAGAGGAAGGUCCCCCACAUUGGAACUGAGACACGGUCCAA